AAUAUCAUUGGAAUAAUGACUGCAAUUAGAUUGCUAAUUUUAAAAGGUUAUUUUAAAUAUUUUAAUUUUAAUUUCUAUUUUAUUUAUAUAAAAAUCGUCAUCGCAUAAGAAUUCUCUUAAUGAAUUCUUGCUAACAUUGACUAUUUAUGUAUAUUGAUUCACGUUGAAAUCGAGAAAAACAUCUGAACAACACACAUAUUCUAAAGCAAAUCAUGUUUUGAUUAAAAUUAUUAUUCGUGUUACUGGCGCCAAUAAGAUUUUUAACUUAACCAAGAUGAUCUCUGAGGAAUGUUAAUGUCUUCCUUGACUUUUGUCUUUUUCUUAACGGUUUUUUUUAAAACUGUAUUUUUUAAUAUUUUGUAACUUUAUUUUUCCAAACCAGAGAUGAGAGAAUCCACAUUACAUUUUUUGCAUUGAUGAUUAAGGAAAUUUAUACCUUAAAAAAACAUUGAAUUUUUUAUAAUAAAUAAAUAAUAUAAUACGUGAUUAAAAUACAUAUGAAUACAAUUUUUUGAAGAGUAUAUAAGUAUAUUUUUACUGUAACUAAAAAAAAUCACUUUAGUGAAAAGAAGAUACGUAAACAAGAUAUAAAAAUGAACGACAUGAUUACAUUCCAACGAUCAUCGCUUUUUUGGAUGGGUCUUUUACAUUUUUCAUAGAUGACUUUGCAAUCACCGUGUGACGUGUAUUGCCAUAUAUGGUCCGGAAUAAUUGAACAGAUUAUCCUACACCGGUUGAUUUGUCGUCGAUUAAUCGGACUUGUGACUAAUUCGCGUUAUCAAGCGGUCGAUCGUAACGUCGAACGUAAAUCGUCUUGUUUGGACGUGGUCAAACCUCGUUCAGUGUAGAUCAUUGACCAAUGCGGAAGUUGAGGACAUCGACUCUCUGUGUAAGUGGAAGAUCUCUGUAAAACUGUGUAUUCUAUCUUCUUAAUUCUCUUUCUCUCUCUCUCUUUUUUUUUUAUCAAUUAUAAAGCAUGGAUUACAAGAUGUACAAAUAAAUAUUAUAACACAUGAAAAAUAAACUGGUAGGUUAAACUGGGUAAACUGGUAAUGGCUAAUUCCAUUACGAUUUUAAUUCCAUCUAAACUCGUCAAUUAUUUUGUCAAAACUGAAAUAAAUCACAGAAAUUUUAAGUAAAAUUGAGAAAGAGAAAGAGAAAGAUGGAAAGAAUCGAAAGCAUCCCUUUCUGGGUUAUAUACUUUUUGCCAUUUAUCAUAUAGCCCUAGACUUCAAUAUUUAUUGUUUCUGCCCCCGAUACGUAGGCCAGGCCGGGCCCGCCUUAGGUAUGCAAGCGCACAUGCAAGCCUUUUCUGCAGCUGCAGCAAUUCACCACAAUAUCCAAUCGACGAAGCUUGCUGGCGGGAUUAAAAGGGCCACUGGCAAUCUGCCAAUAAGGCUGACAGACUCAUUAACGGAUAACCAGCGACAAUUAAGGAGCAGCAAGAAAGGCUUGAUUAGUGGCGACGAGUAACGAGACCAGCACGAACAAAGACCACGCGAGGACAAUCAUCCUGGAUCGUAGUGAUCACUGAGAAGUAUUGAUAGCGAGUUGAUCAACUUGCCAAAUUUCGGAUCAACCAGGCUUCCACUACGGUUACGAUUUCGCGCACCUGACCGGUAUACACGCGUGUACGUAUCCGUAAUAAUUUGAUUGGUAUUUCAAAUUAAUGUUUUCUUCUUAAAUGUAUAUUAAAUAUAUAAAUAUAUAUAUUCUUAUAUAUGUUUAUAUAUGUAUUUAUGUAGAUAUGUAUAUAUCUGUAUAUUCGUAGGUAUGUGUGUGUACGUGUGUCGAAGGUCUUAAUUCGGCGUCGCUAGUUCUCGGACACGUUUCUCUCGAUGAACCGGGCCGUCGGGCUCAGACUCGGCUCUACCGACUUCUCCGACCAGUUAGCCAGCAGUGAACUGCUCGUGUUCCUGCCUUGGGCAUCGUAAUAUACAUAAAGUCGCCAGAUAAGCCGCAGCUGACACCCCACCACGAACCCGUCGUGGGACGGUCCGUCUUCUCGCUCGCUUACUCUCGAUGGAACAGCUUGAAAUCCUCUUCUUCUCGAAACCGCCCCGCCGCUCGUUCAUUCCCUCUCUCUAUCGCUCUUUCGCCUUUUCUGUACCACGUCCCUGUACACGUGUUCCCGCGAUGCGGAUUGCAGUUCGCAAACAUCAGCCGACCUGUGCAAAAACUACCGUUGCAAACGGGUUUCUUGACUGUUUAGACUUAACUCCGAUAAAAGUUUUUGAUAUUUUGAUAUAAGAAACGUGAUUUAAAGACGCAACUCUAUCAUUUUCUUUUUGUUUUAGGUAAUGACAAGAACGAUAAUAAUGAAUAUUUACAUCGAGUUUUUUGAUCGCUUAAAACUUGAUUCAAGUUAAAGAUUUAUAAGAUUUUUUUGACAUGAUAAGUAUAAUUUCAAUUCUGAUUUUUUCGGAAGUGUUUUGACGAAGAGAAUAUUAGUGGAUAUUAACUCUCUGGAGAAAUGUGUAUUUUUGAAGUGAUACAUGGUUGGCUCUUUCUAGGAAAAUGAGAUAUCAAUCACUUGUGAAGUUAUUUAAGUCAGUUGCCGCUAAAAGACAACUAAAUCUAAAUGUCAUCGUACGUCGAGCAGCAAACGAGUUGUAUUACCAUAAUCUCAUCGCAAGGGCAAGAUUAUAGCCGCGUUUCUAUUCUGCUAAUUCCAUGUUAAACAUUUUUGCCUGAAACGCGACCUUCCGGAAUUUAAUCUUUUUUAUGCAUAUUAUAUUCGUUUCAGCAUUACACGAGUGUCACACGUUGAGGCUAACUUAUGUGAUACUUGACACACUGGAACCAACGAUAACGAGCCACCUGGAACGAGACUAACGAGCAUCUCACAUUUCGUAUGAUGUAUUCUGCCAUUACUGACAUAGUACACGUGAUACAUACAUCCAUGUUAGAUAAGUCACGACUUGUAUUAUUCGUCUUCACUACAGGGGACUUCUUUCUUCGAAGAAAUCGGUCGAAUCUCUUCCAAUUAUUUGACUUUGAUUAGAUCUCGAUUGUUCGUGCCCAAUGCCUCGGAAGUAACAUAACCGAUUGUGAUAAUAAGUCAAUAGAAUUGAGUCAUAAAUCAUAAUUGAUUUUCUAGCUGGUAACAUUUUAUAUUAAUUGUGCCGUUCCAGAUAAUACAUUAUUAAAAAAAAUAUAUUAGAAAAAUGAUUGGUAUCAAUUAUUAUCGCUCAAGUUGAAAAACGUAUGAUUAAACCAAGCGAGAAAAAUUGAAUGAAAUAAUAAUCACGUUUAUAUUAAAUACUUGAUACACAGAGUACGCAUAAAUUUUCAGAAUGUCUUGUCAUUUUUAAUUUAAUCAUUAACAAUUUAAUCAUAGAAUAUUUUAAAUCAUUCAUUUAACAUAAUCAAUAUAUUAGUCAGUUAAUAUCUAUUGAAAGACUUUGCGGAUUAUGUUUAUAAUGGCAUAUUGGUUUUGAAUAAUUUAUUCUCAGAAAUAAAAUCUUCUAGUAAAAGUCCAUUCUUCAAUUUCUUGUUUUUUAUCUUAAUUUAAGAUAACAUAACAUGAAAUGAUGAUAGAAUUAUUUGAAUAUAAUAAAAAUCAGUUAUGCAACAUUUCAUUUUAUAAUGUAGAUUGAACAUUUCCAAUUAUUGUUCUCAAUUAUUCCAUGCAGUUGCAUAUUAAAUUUAUAUUUUCUUCUUUUAUAUAUUUUACAUUUUGAAAAUGUCGAUGAAAUGAAUAUACAUACAUGUAUACUAUAUUUUAAAUAGAAUAUUAACUCGAUAAAAAGAUAGUCUACAUGACAUUCCGUUUCUAGAUACCAUCUUCCUUCUACGGCCCUUCUUGUCACAUUGACUUAUGCUCGUUGGACCGCACAUUUCAAUCUCGCUUCAGAACGUUUUCUCAUGCUAAUUUCGAUGCGGCCCGUUUUCAUCUCGCACGAUCCUCACGUACACCAUCUAAAUCAGUUGUUUGCGGAACAGCGUGCGAAAUAUUCUAUACCGAUGUACCGUGUAUCUUCCAUUAUUAAUAAUAACUUAUAUAUCUGUCAGAUAAAUUGUUUCACAUUAAUAGCACAUUUUCUAAAUGUGUUGUUACAAAUGAUUGCUUCUUGCUGUUUCUGUCCUCUCUCUUUUUUUUUUUUUUUUUUUUUUUUUAAUUUUUGAUUCGAUAACGAUUUUAUAAUAUCUAAUUUUAAAAGUGUAAGCUUUGAAACUUCCAGAAUUUAAUCGAUCAUCGAUUAUUAAAUUAUCAACAAAGUUUAGAUUUAAAUUUAAACAUUUAGAUUGUAAAUAUUCGUACGCAUUAAUCUAUUGAAAGAUGUAAAUAUUGAUUAUUGAUAUUUUUGUAUCUUCAAAAGUAUAUAUAUAAAAAUUAUUGAUUACGAGUACAAAUAUAAUCGAAAAUGGAUUUACCUUUAGUAGGAAUUUAAUGAAUGAGAUUUAAUCUAAUCUCUAAAUAUAUUUUUGAAAAACGAAAACUUUUUCUUUAGUUUUUAGAGAUAUAGAGCUAAAGAUGCGAGAUUUUAUCUAUUUUUCUCACAAAUUAUUGUGAUUUUGUUUCACCAAUGAAGGCAUAUCGAUAUUUGCAAACCAUUUCACGUGCUCCAUUGUGUUUCUUUAAUUUUAUUAUUAGGUUUCGUAGCACGCGCAAACGCAUAACACAUGCGAAAUGAAAAUAGAUUCAUUGCGCCUCUGUUACCAUGGCCUUCGUUGCAUAUUUGCUUACAAGGUGCGUCUUAAAAGCAUUGUAAACACCGCAUAGUCUACCUACCAGUUGAUUGCGUAUCUCGUUUGCUGCGGAAAGAAUCAGUUACAGUAGAACUCCAUUUAUUCCUAUCUUACUUACUAAAAUCAUAUUUCUAAUCUAUUAUCAUUAUAAUUAUAUGAAUUUUACAUUCAAGCAAAUACAUAUUUAUCACUUAUAAAAAAUAGAAAAAAAUAAUCUUAUAAAGAAAAUAAAUUUACAAAUUUGCAGACAAAAUUUGGAUUUAUAUAUAUAUAAAUUAUCGAAUUAUCAUUACAUAAAAUAUGAUUCAUUAUUUAGAAGGAAUUGAUUGUAUCAUCACAUUUUAUGUUUAUAUAUGUGCAAUGGUUAUAGAACGGAAUGAGCAAUAGAAAAAAUUUUUAUUUAUAUCAAGUUAUCCAAUCUGUUUUGUCUCGGUAUAUAUUCUGAUAAAUAAAGCUAAUUUUUCUUUGAAAAAAAAUCCCAUUCGAUUCUCCUUCCUUGGAACGAUGGUUGAAUUAAUAAUACGUCCCAAUCUAACAAUAAACCUCGUAACUCGAAUAAGUUUUAUCGAUCUCGUUCGAGGACGAGUGAAAAAUAAUCCGAACGAAAAAACGAUCAAGCAUAAAAUUCUUCAUUAUUGAAAAUUUUACAAGGAUUCAUUUUAAAAAUAAAUGAAGAAGAGAAGAAGAAAAAUUUUUCAGAGAUCCUCUGUGAAAUAUGUAUAUUAACAGAUAGCAUCUGUUACCGAGGGGGAAGACGAAUUAAUGAAACAGCUCAUUGAAACGUCACAACAAAAGUCCGAUCGCUUCAUGCACCGCUAUAUUUAGUCGCGCAGAUGUUUUGAAAAAUAUAAAGAAGCACGCGGUACGAUAAUAAGCAGGCGACGAUAUUAAAUUUAAUGCAAUGGCUGUUAUGGGAACUCGUUUAUGUUAUGAAUGAGUUGAGCGAAAAUGAUGAUGAUGAUGUGACAUUCCGAUUACUUGGAAUAAUAUUCCUCCGAUGGGAAGUAGUGAACAAAAAUUUCCUAAUUAACAUCGACUCUGCAAUCAAGAUAACAACGAUUUGCUUGAAGCUUUUGAUGGGAUUUAAUUCUUUUUCAUAAUACAAUAUUUAUAUCGCCUAUUGCUAUUUAUUGUAGUUUGUGUUGCGGUAAUACAUAUUUUUAUUAGAAAAAUAAUCAUUUUUAUAUUCAUAGAUCAUCGAGAAUAUAUUGUAUCAUCUUAUUUUUAUUCUUUUGAAUUCUUCCAAUGAAUACAUAUGCUUAUAUGAGAAUUUCUUUAAAGAGAAAUUAAAUUGAGGAACUUCCAACAGAUAAACAGAUUGUAAAAAUCUGUUGUAAACAGAUGUAAAAAGAUCGUUUUAUUAUUAUACAUUUCGUUUAUAAUAUAUGAAUAUAUUUGCAUGUUUCAUACUCGUUAUUUGAAUUUUUCGUUA